rnacentral:ncRNA from 2 species
CUUUUAUCGAGAGAAGUGGAGGGACUGGCCCGACGAUACUUCAGCAACCCCGCAUUGCGGAAGGUGCUAAAUCCAUCAGAUGCAAAUCUGGAAGAUAAAAC